GGCCUUCAGUGUUGCCCGUUCAUCUUGGUUGUUAAUGAACGUGGUGUCUGAGAAGGCACAAAACAAGCUUCCUAUUGCAGCUAUUUCUCCAUGGUAGGAGUUGUUCUCUGCCAGGGCUGCUGCAUGUGGGACAAUA